GAAAUCCCCUUUUCUGGCUUAGCUUUUGGCGUGGCUUCUCACUGAGUGAUGCACAGCUUGGACACCAGGACACUUUAAAGCUGCUCAAGUUGCUAGUCGCCACCUCCAACAUCCUCUUAGCGUCAGUGUGCAGCGGGAAGGGAUCUCAUCCCCAAGCCAUGCUGGCUUAGGGGCUGGAAGCCAGCACCUUUCUUCCAGCAGAUACCGUCCAACCUUGAAGCCCACCAUCCAGAUCUGCAGAAUAGUGGCCCGAAGCAAAGCUCUUCCUUGACUCUGAUACUUCUAUCCAGAUGAUGGCUGCACAGUGGGAGGACUGGGAAGCAUCUGCUGGAGAAGAGGGAGAGUUUGUUGGAAGUAAUGAAGAAGGCUCCUCUCGGAGUCCUCCCCCUCGUGAACAUCUGGACAGAUAACAGCUCUUCUGAGAAAGAUUGAAAGAGCCGAUGAGGCCUCCUGGAAAGGGCAGGGAAACAGUCUGCCUCAGAGCUGGUCAGGGCCAAGGGCAGAAAGGCUGAGAGAGGCUGUGGGGUCUAAUGCAGACCCUGUCACCCAGAGGUUGAAAGUGAAACAGAUGAAACCAAGGCUACCAAAAAUGAUCUUUGGGUGAAACCACGAGACCCUUGAUCCCAGAAUAUACCUCUUUUAGGCAAGUGCUGCAGCCUUGAAAUACAUUUAACCAUAUGGAUGGUAACAAGAGAUGUAACAAAAGGUUUGUCACUGCA